rnacentral:rRNA from 1 species
CGUACGCACUGGCCCACUGAUUGAUGGUGCUUGCACCUGAUUGACGAUGGAUCACCAGUGAGUGGCGGACGGGUGAGUAACACGUAGGUAACCUGCCCCGGAGCGGGGGAUAACAUUUGGAAACAGAUGCUAAUACCGCAUAACAACGAAAGCCACAUGGCUUUUGUUUGAAAGAUGGCUUUGGCUAUCACUCUGGGAUGGACCUGCGGUGCAUUAGCUAGUUGGUAAGGUAACGGCUUACCAAGGCGAUGAUGCAUAGCCGAGUUGAGAGACUGAUCGGCCACAAUGGAACUGAGACACGGUCCAUACUCCUACGGGAGGCAGCAGUAGGGAAUCUUCCACAAUGGGCGCAAGCCUGAUGGAGCAACACCGCGUGAGUGAAGAAGGGUUUCGGCUCGUAAAGCUCUGUUGUUGGAGAAGAACGUGCGUGAGAGUAACUGUUCACGCAGUGACGGUAUCCAACCAGAAAGUCACGGCUAACUACGUGCCAGCAGCCGCGGUAAUACGUAGGUGGCAAGCGUUAUCCGGAUUUAUUGGGCGUAAAGCGAGCGCAGGCGGUUGCUUAGGUCUGAUGUGAAAGCCUUCGGCUUAACCGAAGAAGUGCAUCGGAAACCGGGCGACUUGAGUGCAGAAGAGGACAGUGGAACUCCAUGUGUAGCGGUGGAAUGCGUAGAUAUAUGGAAGAACACCAGUGGCGAAGGCGGCUGUCUGGUCUGCAACUGACGCUGAGGCUCGAAAGCAUGGGUAGCGA